GUGCCCAUAGCUCAGCUGGAUAGAGCAUCAGAUUGCGGUUCUGAAGGUCAGAGGUUCAAGUCCUCUUGGGCACG
rnacentral:tRNA from 1 species